AUAACAUAACGACUCUCGGCAACGGAUAUCUCGGCUCUCGCAUCGAUGAAGAACGUAGCAAAAUGCGAUACUUGGUGUGAAUUGCAGAAUCCCGCGAAUCAUCGAGUCUUUGAACGCAAGUUGCGCCCGAAGCCUCUAGGCCGAGGGCACGUCUGCC
rnacentral:rRNA from 1 species